rnacentral:tRNA from 1 species
GCUUAUAUAGCUUAAUCAAAGCAUAACACUGAAGAUGUUAAGAUAGACCCUGAUAAGUCUUAUAGGCA